CACACCACUCUUCCAUGGAAACUCAACUACUGAAAAUGACCAGUGACCCCUGCUCCAGCCAACACAGCCUGCUCAUAAAACUCCUAGUAUAGGAAGUGGCGUGGGACCAGUGUAACAUCAACCGCAGCCACAAAGCUAAGGCGAAGAAGGAAGUUGAUGGGGAAAAAAGAAGAACUACUGUCUGUGAGACUCUGAUGAAACUCUUGGGUCACCUCCCUAGUGGCAUAAACUCAGGAGCUGAUUUUAGUGUUUUGUUACCCACCCACAACUCAGGGGAAACCAUCACCACGAUGGAUGCCAUGGACAAGCGAAGAUGGGGCACUGGGCAAGGCAUUGAGAAAAAAAGCCACUUACGUGAUCUGUCUGACUCAAAAGCAUAAUUCUCCUCUCCAAAUUUCUUCACACUGCG